UUUCCGUAGGUGAACCUGCGGAAGGAUCAUUACAGUAGUCGCCUGGGUUGCCGCAAGGCCUCCCGGGUAACCUACCACCCUUUGUUUAUUACACUUUGUUGCCUUGGCAGGCCUGCCCUCGGGCUGCUGGCUCCGGCCGGCGAGCGCUUGCCAGAGGACCUAAACUCUGUUUGUCUAUACUGUCUGAGUACUAUAUAAUAGUUAAAACUUUCAACAACGGAUCUCUUGGUUCUG
rnacentral:misc_RNA from 1 species